CCCUUGGUGGUGUAGUUGGUUAUCGCGUUCGGCUGUAAUUGUUGUAUUUGCUACCGAAAUGUCGCCGGUUCGAUUCCGGCCCGAGGGA